UACGUAGGGUGCGAGCGUUAAUCGGAAUUACUGGGCGUAAAGCGUGCGCAGGCGGUUUGUUAAGACCGAUGUGAAAUCCCCGGGCUUAACCUGGGAACUGCAUUGGUGACUGGCAGGCUUUGAGUAUGGCAGAGGGGGGGUAGAAUUCCACGUGUAGCAGUGAAAUGCGUAGAGAUGUGGAGGAAUACCCGAUGGGCGAAGGCAGCCCCCUGG
rnacentral:rRNA from 1 species